ensembl:rRNA 5S_rRNA 5S ribosomal RNA
AUCAAUGGCCAUAGCACCCUGAAUGUUCUUAAUCUCAUCUGAUCUUGGAUACUAAACAGGGUCAGGACUGGUCUAUUACUGGGAUUGGAGAUGGCCUAGGAAUACCAAGUGCUGUAGGGU